rnacentral:pre_miRNA from 1 species
AGGGGAAUAGCUGGGUCAAAUGGUGAUUCCAUUACCAGCUUUCCAAGAAAUCUCCAUACUACUUUCCAAAUUGGCUGCACCAAUUUGCACUCCCACCAGCAAU